rnacentral:rRNA from 1 species
AUUGAACGCUGGCGGCAGGCCUAACACAUGCAAGUCGAAUGGUAACAGGAAACAGCUUGCUGUUUCGCUGACGAGUGGCGGACGGGUGAGUAAUGUCUGGGAAACUGCCUGAUGGAGGGGGAUAACUACUGGAAACGGUAGCUAAUACCGCAUAACGUCGCAAGACCAAAGAGGGGGACCUUCGGGCCUCUUGCCAUCAGAUGCGCCCAGAUGGGAUUAGCUAGUAGGUGGGGUAACGGCUCACCUAGGCGACGAUCCCUAGCUGGUCUGAGAGGAUGACCAGCUACACUGGAACUGAGACACGGUCCAGACUCCUACGGGAGGCAGCAGUGGGGAAUAUUGCACAAUGGGCGCAAGCCUGAUGCAGCCAUGCCGCGUGUAUGAAGAAGGCCUUCGGGUUGUAAAGUACUUUCAGCGGGGAGGAAGGGAGUAAAGUUAAUACCUUUGCUCAUUGACGUUACCCGCAGAAGAAGCACCGGCUAACUCCGUG